UCUCUUAACCACUUUUCAUUUAUAAGGAAAUAGCUUCUGAGAUAAAGGGAUCAUUAUACCUUCUGCUUUUAGGGUUUGUCUCCAGCUCAACUCCUUUGUCAGAGGACUGGAGGAAUUGUGUUGAACAAAAGGACUCUACCCCUAUCUUCUUCAACAGAUUCACCUCUCUGCUCAUCCCUCUGUUCUGAGAUGCUGAGCGUGUCCACAUCUCCAGUUUCCGUGGAGGUCUCUCUAGAGUGGACCUGAUGCGUGAGUGACAGACCAAAGCUAGUUCAUGGAGCCCUGUGGAAAUAGGUGUAAGCGUCAAGAUAAAAAUAAUGUCACUUUGGCAAGUGCUUUGAGAAGCAUUAUGAGGGAACUACAAGGAAGAAUUACGGAUUUUGAUUCAUAAUAUCCAUGUAAGCAACUCAGAAUUCAAGAGCUGUUUCCU
rnacentral:lncRNA from 1 species